UGGGGAAUAUUGCGCAAUGGGCGAAAGCCUGACGCAGCGACGCCGCGUGAGGGAAGAAGGCCUUCGGGUCGUAAACCUCUGUCUAGAGGGAAGAAACCAUUGAGGUCGAACAGGCCUCUUUGCUGACGGUACCUCUGAAGGAAGCACCGGCUAACUCCGUGCCAGCAGCCGCGGUAAUACGGCGGGUGCGAGCGUUAAUCGGACUCACUGGGCGUAAAGCGCACGUAGGCGGUGUCGUAAGUCGGAUGUGAAAGCCCUCGGCUCAACCGGGGAACUGCAUUGGAUACUGCGAUGCUGGAGUGCCGGAGAGGGUGGCGGAAUUCCAGGUGUAGGGGUGAAAUCCGUAGAUAUCUGGAGGAACACCAGUGGCGAAGGCGGCCACCUGGCCGGCAACUGACGCUGAGGUGCGAAAGCGUGGGGAUCAAACA
rnacentral:rRNA from 1 species